rnacentral:lncRNA from 1 species
UUAUAGCUUAAUUCAGAAAAAAUGGGAUGCUUGUAGAUAUUCACCAUUUCUGAUCCCAGAUGUCUGGUCCGGUCAAAGGAGGAGGAAAGACUCAAGGAGAUCUCUUGUACUAGACACGAACGUGAGCACCCAGGGGAAGAUGCCACAUUCUACAAGUCCAACUCAGCCCCUGUGUCCUUUACAGGAGCCUUACUGCCUCCUGUCUUCUCCUGUGCACGCUUGUAACUUCAAACUUAAGGAAGUGCAUGAAGAAGAAACACUGUAUCCUACAAUCACAAAUCAGCUGAAGAUCACCGAAACCAAACAUUGGAGCCAUGGGGCUAACCGCCAUAGUACAAUUAAUCCAGUUUACUGGAAGCAUAUUGAAGAUAUUCAGUUAAGUACCAGCUUUGAGGGCUGCACGGACAAAGGGGCAGUCUUGGAGGAAGACCCAGAAUGUGAGGGAAAAGACGAGUGGCUUUGCCUUGAAGAUGCCAGUGCCCCCCAUUUCACAGCUCAUAAGAAGCCAGGUUCCACAAAGCCGCCACUUAAAAGACCUGAUGGAAAUACAUUUCACAAGAGCGGAAGAGGAGAAACAAGCAUGCCAGAAAUAAAAAUCACUAAGAGAACAGAGAAGGGAAACAGAUUGAUUUCAUCCUGGCCAUUUCAUGAAGGAUCUGGAUGUUCUUUCUGGAAUGACAAAAGUGCAGACCACUUGAAAGGCAUGAUAAGCAGAAAAGCAAAGCACAUACUAGACUGCGUAAUCCAAGGACCAGCAGAAGGACAGUAUAACACAGAACUCCCCUUGCUGAAAUACGGAAAGAAUGGCGAUCCCUCCUUUCCAAACUGUUUCUGUGAUCCUGGCAGAACAAAACAAGUCAGCCAGCCCUUGCUACAUAAAUGUGAUAGAGACCGUUCUUCUAAGGACAGACACCGUAUUACGAGCACUUCUCCCGAGACAUUUAAUGGAGAAUUGAAGGAAUAUCCUGUUUUAAGACCCAAGCGUAAAGACAGCGAUGGUAGCCAUUUAAUUCCGCCAGGAAAUGAGAAAACAGGAUUUCUCAAACAGCAGGAGAAAAUGAAACGUCUCAACUAUUACGCCGAGUUAAGACAGCAGGAAGAAGAUAAGAGACGCAGGAAUCAAAUGAACAAAACGAGAGAUGGAGCUGCAGAACAAAUGCAUGUAGAGACAAUGCAGUAUUGCACAUGGGGAAAGCCAGGAAGUGGCGCUCCAGUCGAACAUGUGCUCUCUCCUAGAAGAAGAACCUUCAAUUCCACCGGCAUUGUUUCUCAGGAACAGCUGAGGCAGAAAGGAUUCAGCGGUGUCCCAUUUCGUCUGUAUGUGGAUUAAUCUCUGCAUCGACCAGAUCAAUUUUGCUGCAAGAAAGGAGGCACCUUAUCAAUGUUUUGGGGCUCAAUAAACAGCUGUGUAAUGGCAGUUCUGUAUUGUAGUUGUUGUUGGCAUCAUUGCUAAUUAUGUCUGAGCCUUACACACAAAC